rnacentral:misc_RNA from 1 species
GUCGAGUCUCUAUCUAAGAUCGGCAGAUUAAACGGCGAGGGUAGCGUGUGUUUGCCAUGGCUAGAGAUAGGUGCGUGAAAGUUAAGCAACGAGCACAUGUCUGGCCAAGUAGCGGCUGUUGGCGCCGCCGGAAGAUCCAAAGUCGGCUUACUGACAACCGUCUGACUUUUCUCGGACAGCCGCUGGCUUUUCGACUUCGCCCCGCAGGGUUACCUCGCCGAUACCUCACCGCGAUUAUGAGUCAGGCCUCGAUAAACC